rnacentral:rRNA from 1 species
GACGAACGCUGGCGGCGUGCUUAACACAUGCAAGUCGAACGGAAAGGCCCUGCUUGCAGGGUACUCGAGUGGCGAACGGGUGAGUAACACGUGGGUGAUCUGCCCUUCACUUCGGGAUAAGCCUGGGAAACUGGGUCUAAUACCGGAUAGGAGCCAUUUUUAGUGUGAUGGUUGGAAAGUUUUUUCGGUGUAGGAUGAGCUCGCGGCCUAUCAGCUUGUUGGUGGGGUAAUGGCCUACCAAGGCGGCGACGGGUAGCCGGCCUGAGAGGGUGGACGGCCACAUUGGGACUGAGAUACGGCCCAGACUCCUACGGGAGGCAGCAGUGGGGAAUAUUGCACAAUGGGCGCAAGCCUGAUGCAGCGACGCCGCGUGGGGGAGGACGGCCUUCGGGUUGGAAACUCCUUUCGCUAGGGACGAAGCUUUUUGUGACGGUACCUAGAGAAGAAGCACCGGCUAACUACGUG